rnacentral:rRNA from 1 species
UGCUGUAUAAAAGGUGGCCUUCGGGCUGUCGUUUGGGGAUGAGUCUGCGUCCUAUUAGUUAGUUGGUGAGGUAAUGGCUCACCAAGGCGAUGAUAGGUAGGCGGCCUUAACGGGUGGUCGCCCACACUGGGAUUGAGAUACGGCCCAGACUCCUACGGGAGGCAGCAGUCGAGAAUAGUCUACAAUGGACGAAAGUCUGAUAGUGCGACGCCGCGUGAACGAAGACUCCCUAACAGGGUGUAAAGUUCUUUUAUAUGUGAGCAAUGGGUUAUAUAUUAAUAGUAUGUAGCCAGAGAUAUUAGCAUAUGAAUAAGCAACGGCUAACUCCGUGCCAGCAGCCGCGGUAACACGGGGGUUGCAAGCGUUGUCCGGAAUUACUAGGCGUAAAGGGCAGGUAGGCGGAUCAGUAAGUUUGAUGUCAAAUCCAUCGGCUCACCCGAUGAUCGGCAUCAGAUACUGCUGAUCUGGAAUACGGUUGAGGAAGACAGAAUUCCUGGUGUAGCGGUGGAAUGCGCAGAGAUCAGGAGGAAUACCAAAUGCGAAGGCAGUCUUCUAGACCGUUAUUGACGCUAAACUGCGAAGGUGUGGGGAUCAAACAGGAUUAGAUACCCUGGUAGUCCACACAGUAAACGAUAAUCACUAGGUGUCGGGUUUAAAUAAACUCGGUGCCGUAGCUAACGCGUUAAGUGAUUCGCCUGGGGAGUACGAUCGCCAAGGUGAAACUCAAAAGGGAAUUGACGGGGGCCCGCCACAAGCGGGUGGAGCAUGUGGUUUAAUUUCGAAUGCAACCGAAAAAACUAACCCCGGUUUUUGACUUCCGUAGGAAUCUU